AUUAGUUUUCGUGUUGACCGAUGUAGAAGGGGUGACGAAAUUCGUCCCCGCCCCGGCGCGCGACCACUCAUAAGUAGAUGCUGAUCCUCUAAAACACUCUUAAACACACUCUGGAACGCUCCCUCUCGCAGACUCUUGAACUCUCCCUCUCACACACUCUGAGACCCAAACCCUCUAAACACUCUCAAACCUAAAACGACUCUCUACAUUCCAGGACCGUUGAUCUUCAACAACCCUCCAAGGAAGCAUUGAAGCCCUAUUCGACGAACGAAAACAUAGUGAAGCCAUUUUAGGGUCUGGAGGCACUCCCGGAGGAGGUUUCCGGAAACCUAGUCGUCCUAUUGUCUGAGUCCGUUGUGAAAGUAUUUGUUUCAUUUUUGAAGCAAGUCUGAUUGGUUUAAAAAAUUGAGAAGUUUGGGCACAACAGAAUUUUCUCUUUAUUCUUUUGUUUGUUUCCAAGAAAUUGGAUCCAUCUAACUCUCUCCACUACCCAACAAUGGUGUGAGCCUUGUGUAAUGGGUCACUCUUAUAGUGAGACAAGGUUUGGUGGUGGUUGUUAUUUAGGGUUUAGGGUUCAGCUGAAAAUGUGUGUCUUCAAAGGAGCAGGGGAAGGAUUAUAGUGAUAUUUGGCUCUGCCUUUUGUGCUAGGCUGGCUCAUUUUUAUGUGGAAUGUUUAGGAGGUGUACAGAGGGUGAUACUUCUCUUCUUGACAUCCAUUAGUCAACACAUCUAGUUUGUGAUAUCUUCUUAGUAAGAAGAAGAAAAAUGGAUCGUAGUUGGAUAAAUGCAAGAAGAAUCACUGAUGAGUAUCAAAAUGGGGUUGAAGAGUUUUUGAAAUUUGCUCAACAAAAUUGAGCAGAUUUGAAUGUAAAAUUUUAUUGUCCUUGCGUUAAUUGUUUAAAUGGGAGACAUGUAAUUGAAGAAAUACGAGACCAUCUUAUUUGUGAUGGGCUUUUAACGAGCUAUACAACAUGGAUAUGGCAUGGUGAAGAU